rnacentral:rRNA from 1 species
UUAUCCUACGGGGGGCAGCAGUAGGGAAUCUUCGGCAAUGGGGGCAACCCUGACCGAGCAACGCCGCGUGAGUGAAGAAGGUUUUCGGAUCGUAAAGCUCUGUUAUAAGAGAAGAACGUGUGUGAGAGUGGAAAGUUCACACAGUGACGGUAACUUACCAGAAAGGGACGGCUAACUACGUGCCAGCAGCCGCGGUAAUACGUAGGUCCCGAGCGUUAUCCGGAUUUAUUGGGCGUAAAGCGAGCGCAGGCGGUUGGAUAAGUCUGAAGUUAAAGGCGGUGGGUCAAACCUAGUAUGCUUUGGAA